AUAUUUCUGGUAAUGUGGAUUCCUUCAAUACAUUUUGCUUCCUAACAUCCUCCCUUUCAAGGCAGAUUUUACUAAAAUGGCCAGCUGCCCAGAAUCCUGUGAAAGAAAACUGAGAUCCACAUAGUCAACAGUUCUUAGAAGACAGUUACUGAUGCCAGUUUGAAGACCACUUCCCACCUUGAUCAUGCAAAGAUAGUGUUGGCAAAAUGUAGCCCAUCAGAUCUAGUUGAACCGCAUCAUUCAUUGUGUAUUAUAAUAGGCGUAGUCUUCUGAGAAGGUCUCUCAUUGUUCCCACGAAAAGACAUGGGAGGUGUGAAAAAAAUGUCAGUCAUUUGUUAAGUUUGCCUUAGUAGAGUGCCCACAGAAAUCUGUGUCU
rnacentral:lncRNA from 1 species